rnacentral:rRNA from 1 species
AUGCACGCUGGCGGCGUGCCUAAUACAUGCCAGUCGAGCGAACGGACGAGAAGCUUGCUUCUCUGAUGUUAGCGGCGGACGGGUGAGUAACACGUGGAUAACCUACCUAUAAGACUGGGAUAACUUCGGGAAACCGUAGCUAAUACCGGAUAAUAUUUUGAACCGCAUGGUUCAAAAGUGAAAGACGGUCUUGCUGUCACUUAUAGAUGGAUCCGCGCUGCAUUAGCUAGUUGGUAAGGUAACGGCUUACCAAGGCAACGAUGCAUAGCCGACCUGAGAGGGUGAUCGGCCACACUGGAACUGAGACACGGUCCAGACUCCUACGGGAGGCAGCAGUAGGGAAUCUUCCGCAAUGGGCGAAAGCCUGACGGAGCAACGCCGCGUGAGUGAUGAAGGUCUUCGGAUCGUAAAACUCUGUUAUUAGGGAAGAACAUAUGUGUAAGUAACUGUGCACAUCUUGACGGUACCUAAUCAGAAAGCCACGGCUAACUACGUG